rnacentral:rRNA from 1 species
UACGGGGGGGGCAAGCGUUGUUCGGAAUUACUGGGCGUAAGGGGCUCGUAGGCGGCCAACUAAGUCAGACGUGAAAUCCCUCGGCUUAACCGGGGAACUGCGUCUGAUACUGGAUGGCUUGAGUUCGGGAGAGGGAUGCGGAAUUCCAGGUGUAGCGGUGAAAUGCGUAGAUAUCUGGAGGAAUACCGGUGGCGAAGGCGGCAUCCUGGACCAUUACUGACGCUGAGGCGCGAAAGCUAGGGGAGCAAACGGG